rnacentral:tRNA from 1 species
GGUAGGUGGCCGAGUAGGCGGCAGGUUGUAGCCCUGUGUAGGCGGGUUAAGCCCCGUCCUUACCAA